UACGUAGGGCGCAAGCGUUGUCCGGAAUUAUUGGGCGUAAAGAGCUCGUAGGCGGCUUGUCACGUCGGGUGUGAAAGCCCGGGGCUUAACCCCGGGUCUGCAUUCGAUACGGGCAGGCUAGAGUGUGGUAGGGGAGAUCGGAAUUCCUGGUGUAGCGGUGAAAUGCGCAGAUAUCAGGAGGAACACCGGUGGCGAAGGCGGAUCUCUG
rnacentral:rRNA from 1 species